rnacentral:rRNA from 1 species
UACAGAGGUCUCAAGCGUUGUUCGGAUUUAUUGGGCGUAAAGAGCGUGUAGGCGGCUAGGUAGGUCCGUUGUGAAAACUCGAGCUCAACCUCGAGACGCCGGUGGAAACCAUCUAGCUAGAGUCCGAAAGAGGAGAGUGGAAUUCCUGGUGUAGCGGUGAAAUGCGCAGAUAUCAGGAAGAACACCCGUGGCGAAGGCGGCUCUCUGGGACGUGACUGACGCUGAGACGCGAAAGCGUGGGGAGCGAACAGG